GCUUGCUUCUUCUGAUUUUAGCGGCGGACGGGUGAGUAACACGUGGGCAACCUACCUUGUAGAUUGGGAUAACUCCGGGAAACCGGGGCUAAUACCGAAUAAACCAUUUUGCUUCAUGGCAAGAUGUUGAAAGGCGGCUUCGGCUGUCACUACUAGAUGGGCCCGCGGCGUAUUAGCUAGUUGGUAGGGUAAUGGCCUACCAAGGCGACGAUACGUAGCCGACCUGAGAGGGUGAUCGGCCACACUGGGACUGAGACACGGCCCAGACUCCUACGGGAGGCAGCAGUAGGGAAUCUUCCACAAUGGACGAAAGUCUGAUGGAGCAACGCCGCGUGAGUGAAGAAGGUUUUCGGAUCGUAAAACUCUGUUGUAAGGGAAGAACACGUACGAGAGUAACUGCUCGUACCUUGACGGUACCUUAUUAGAAAGCCACGGCUAACUACGUGCCAGCAGCCGCGGUAAUACGUAGGUGGCAAGCGUUGUCCGGAAUUAUUGGGCGUAAAGCGCGCGCAGGCGGUUCUUUAAGUCUGAUGUGAAAGCCCACGGCUCAACCGUGGAGGGUCAUUGGAAACUGGAGAACUUGAGUACAGAAGAGGAAAGCGGAAUUCCACGUGUAGCGGUGAAAUGCGUAGAGAUGUGGAGGAACACCAGUGGCGA
rnacentral:rRNA from 1 species